UAGUAAAAAAAAAAUAAAAAAUUAGGGUUUUCAACCCAAUACUUAGCAAUUUCAGCUUUGUUCCUUGGUCUCCAAUACGCAAUAGCCCUCCAAUACCAAAUUCCAUAGCCUCCAUCGUCUCCAUCAUCAGUGCCAUUGUCGCCGGUCGCCACCGCCGCGCCAUCCUUCGCCAUCGCAUCUGCCCCUUUCGUCACCGCCGCCUCGUUCUCAAUUGCAGCAGGGCAAGAUUGCCCGUCCUCGCACAACAGGGGAAGGUCGCCGGUCACCAUUGUACAUCACGUCGGCAACCUGGGCUCUGCUUCUUCCGUCCUCAUCGAGUCGUGGGAUGAAGUAUGUUUUGAGGCCUUUAUCCUUCUCACCAACAAUGGAGGGAGCAUCAACUGCUAGGGAUGGGAGAGGGCUUGAUUUCAUCCCGAUCUGACAUUAGUGAUAGUGAAUCCAUCACCAAGUCACAUUCCUCUCAUCGUAACUUUCCAAGUUGCCGUUACUUUAUGUCCAAACCCAUUCACCCCUUGUCAAUCCCAUCUGAAACACCUAGAAGAUAAGCUUUUGACAGCAUCCCUGCAAGUUUUACUUCUUACUUAGCUCCAAGUAGCUUCUGCUUGCUGAUUACACCUGCUUUUAUUUUGAUAACUCUGUGCAGAAAGACUCUUCUGUAGAGGGAAGCUAUUAAGGGCCUCUAAUGUUUGAGAAACUUCCAGAAGUAAAUCAAGAUGGUUCUCCGUGGACAGAUAGUGAAGUUCAAGAUGCUAUCAACUUUAUUAACCAAAAUCUACAAAAAUUGGAGUCAUACUUAUCUACAAUACAAAUUGUAAGGAAAGGAUACAUUGUGUAAAGAGAAGGAUACUUUGUGACUCAUAAAUUCUUUCUGCAAACUAUGAAGCAAUCUUUUUAAUUUAUGCAAGGGUUAAGUGGUGUUCUUAACCCAGUAGGUUAUGAAGCACAAGAGGCCAAGGAAAGUAACUUUUCAUUGGAUGCGCUAUACGUGUGGGAUCGUUGGCAUCUCUAUCUGUUCUAUAUGGCUUCUCUGCCAUAGCCGUUUAAUGGGGAGUUCUAACAUUGACAAUUGGAUUUGUGAAGCAAAAGUAUCAACAAUUAGUUUUUGGAAUGAUAUGUAGAGCAACCGCUUCUCUCGAUAGGAAGAGGCAGAAAGGCGCAAUGGAACCUGAAAAAGUACAGAUACCUAACUAACUUUUUCUCCCUUUCAUUUCAUAAAUACUUUUGUAACCCAUCCUUGACUGGUUUAGUUAGAUUAUGUACAGUCUCACCUUUCAAAAUAGUCAACAGAUACAUUACUAUGGCUAUUUGUUAUAAUUAUUUUUUUUUUUGUCUUUAGUCCUUACAAAGUUGUAUGAAACAUUUCAUUUUGGUAGAGAUGAUAACUCUUUUAAUA